rnacentral:rRNA from 1 species
AUGAACGCUGGCGGCGCAUUUAAGACAUGCAAGUCGAACGAAAAUUUACGCUUUACAAGUUGAGUGAUUUAUCAUAAAGCGAGUAAUUGUAGAUUUUAGUGGCGGACGGGUGAGUAAUACAUAGAUAAUCUGCCUUUUAGAGAGAAAUAACUACGGGAAACUGUAGCUAAUGUCACAUAAGACCACGCUUAGGCAUCUAAGAGAGGUCAAAGGAGAAAUCCGCUAAAAGAUGAGUCUAUGGCUGAUUAGUUAGUUGGUGGGGCAAGAGCCUACCAAGACAAUGAUCAGUAGCCGAGCUGAGAGGCUGGCCGGCCACAUUGGGACUGAGACACGGCCCAGACUCCUACGGGAGGCAGCAGUGGGGGAUAUUGCACAAUGGGGGAAACCCUGAUGCAGCAACGCCGCGUGAGGGAAGAAGGUUUUCGGAUUGUAAACCUCUGUCUUCAGGGACGAUAAUGACGGUACCUGAGGAGGAAGCUCCGGCUAACUACGUG